GUGCCCGUAGCUCAGCCGGAUAGAGCACUUGACUUCGAAUCAAGGUGUCGGGAGUUCGAAUCUCUCCGGGCACGCCA
rnacentral:tRNA from 1 species